rnacentral:rRNA from 1 species
AGCAGCCGCGGUAAUUCCAGCUCCAAUAGCGUAUAUUAAAGUUGUUGCAGUUAAAAAGCUCGUAGUUGAAUUUCGGGAUUGGCGCAUCGGUCGUGCCUCACGGGGUAUGAACUGGUGCAGUCAAUUUCUCACCUCCUGGAGAACCGCGAUGUCCUUAAUUGGAUGCCGCGGGGAACCAGGACCUUUACUUUGAAAAAAUUAGAGUGUUUAAAGCAGGCAUUUUUGCUUGAAUACAUUAGCAUGGAAUAAUAAAAUAGGACGGCAUGGUUCUAUUUUGUUGGUUUCUAGGACCACCGUAAUGAUUAAUAGGGAUAGUUGGGGGCAUUAGUAUUCAAUUGUCAGAGGUGAAAUUCUUGGAUUUAUUGAAGACUAACUACUGCGAAAGCAUUUGCCAAGGAUGUUUUCAUUAAUCAAGAACGAAAGUUAGGGGAUCGAAGACGAUCAGAUACCGUCGUAGUCUUAACCAUAAACUAUGCCAACUAGGAAUCAGACGAUGUUAAUUUUUUUAAUGACUCGUUUG